rnacentral:rRNA from 1 species
GAUGAAGCGGCAACAGCUCAAAUUUGAAAUCUGGCCCUAGGCCCGAGUUGUAAUUUGCAGAGGAUGCUUUUGGUGCGGUGCCUUCCAAGUUCCCUAGAACGGGACGCCAGAGAGGGUGAGAGCCCCGUACAGUUGGACACCAAGCCUUUGUAAAGCUCCUUCGACGAGUCGAGUAGUUUGGGAAUGCUGCUCAAAAUGGGAGGUAUAUUUCUUCUAAAGCUAAAUACCGGCCAGAGACCGAUAGCGCACAAGUAGAGUGAUCGAAAGAUGAAAAGCACUUUGAAAAGAGGGUUAAACAGCACGUGAAAUUGUUAAAAGGGAAGCGCUUGUGACCAGACUUGCGUCCGGUGAAUSACCSAGCUCUCGCGGCUGGGGSACUUCGCCGGCUCAGGCCAGCAUCAGCUCGCUGUCGGGGACAAAAGCUUCAGGAACGUAGCUCUCUUCGGGGAGUGUUAUAGCCUGUUGCACAAUACCCUUCGGCGGGCUGAGGUACGCGCUCCGCAAGGAUGCUGGCAUAAUGGUCAUCAGCGAC